rnacentral:rRNA from 1 species
AGAUUGAACGCUGGCGGCAUGCCUUACACAUGCAAGUCGAACGGCAGCACGGGAGCAAUCCUGGUGGCGAGUGGCGAACGGGUGAGUAAUACAUCGGAACGUGCCCAAUCGUGGGGGAUAACGCAGCGAAAGUUGUGCUAAUACCGCAUAAGAUCUACGGAUGAAAGCAGGGGAUCGCAAGACCUUGCGCGAAUGGAGCGGCCGAUGGCAGAUUAGGUAGUUGGUGAGGUAAAGGCUCACCAAGCCUUCGAUCUGUAGCUGGUCUGAGAGGACGACCAGCCACACUGGGACUGAGACACGGCCCAGACUCCUACGGGAGGCAGCGAGUACGGGGUAAGUUUUGGAACAAGUGGGACGAAAGCCUAGAUCCAGCCAUGCCG